AGGAAGGGGACAAGAUGGAGGAGGGCCUGGACGUGGCCGGAGAUUGGCCAUGGGUGUGGACUCAGGGAACUCAUUGGCUGUGGAGUCGGCCGGGCUCACAUGCUGGUUCAGGCAGGCUUUACCUGCCAGUUUGGGUGCAGGGUACAGGUCUAAGAUGCCUGCAACUCUCUUGGACCACCAUAUGGAAUCUACAAGUUCCAGAUGAUGUAGUGCAAUAGAAUGAGAGAGAAGGAUCCUGAGCCCUGAUACCAUGGAGCCACCACUCCAGCUCUGGACCAACUAUCUAUAUUUGCAGAUAAAUAAAUCAACUUCAAUUUUGUUUAACUCUUUUACAUUUGUUUCCUGAAGUGUAGCCACAGUUUGCCUGUAAUUGUUUACUGACUACUAUUUUAGUUGAUUCCCAAAGGCAUUCCGCUUUCCUUUUACAUGGGUCUUCUAGGUGACAAUAGAGGAGUGAGGGAGGAAAACAAGUUGGAAGAUAGUAGCAAUGCCUCGUUAUCUGAAAAUGCUGCUGAAGAGGUAUCUGUGACUUCUAGGUACUAAGAGUCAAGGAGGCAGGACUACAUUUUCCUUUAUCUUAUAACCCUACAGUAGUACUAAGAAAGACCUGCUCUAGGAAACAAGACAACUAAGUGUGGGUUUGUAAGUUCCUAAAGACUUUUCCACCUUAUAAUCCUGCUCUAGAGAAUUAUGUUCAGUUUUCAGUCUCAUGUAAGUAUUUUAAAUGCAAUAUUUAUGUGUGUGUAUUAGAAUAUCACACUAAUGUUUCCUAGCCAGAUAAUAAUAGCUAUACAAACAUUAGUUCAACUAUUUCAAAAAUCAUAAUAGAAAUUGUACACUUAAGCCAUGGAAAGGCUGAUCAGGGUAAAUAUGUGUCUUAUUUAUCUGUUGUCUAUCCACAUACACGUUUGGCUGGAUUGAUAGCAACUUAACUGUUAGAAUUUGUGAUUUGAAUCAGUCAGAUAGUCUUUAUAGUCUUUGAACAAUUUUAAAAAAGGGAAAAUAAAUUUUGACUUUACAAAUCAGUUUGGCAGCAGGAUAUACAUUACUCUCAUCUGCACGUCACAUCCUCUAAGGUCUACCACAUGCUCAACCAUAACGCAAUUCUCAACAAAUUGGAAAGAACUGGAAUAAUACCAGCCACACUCUAGUGCUACAGCACAAUAAAAAUAGAAAUCAAUACCCAGAAGAUCUCUCAAAACUAUAAAUUACAUGGAAAUUAAACAGUCUGCUCCUGGGUGACGUUUGGGUAAACAAUGAAAUUAAGGCAGAAAUCAAAAAAGUCUUUUAAACUAAUGAAAACAAAGAUACAACAUAUCAGAAUCUCUGGCACACAGUUAAAGCAGUGGUAAGAAGAAAGUUUAUAGUGCUAAACGCCUACAUCAAGAAGUUAGAAAGAUCUCAAAUGAACAACCUAACAUCACACCUACAGGAACUAGAAAAACAAGAGCAAAUCAACUCCAAAACUAGGAAAAGAAAAGAAAUGACCAAAAUUGAGCUGACUGAAUGAAAUCGAGAUGCAAAAUCCAUACAAAAGAUCAAUGAAACCAAAAGUUGUUUCUUUGGAAGAAUAAAUAAGAUUUAAAGACUAUUAGUUAGAUUAAUAAGGAAAAAGAAGAUCCAAAUAAACACAAUCAGAAAUGACAAAUAUGACAUUACCAAUGACCUUACAGAAAAAAAAAAAAAUACCCAGACACUAUUACGAACUCCUCUAUGCACACAAACUAGAAAACCUGGAAGAAAUGGGUAAAUUCCUAGAAACAUAUAACCUCUCAAGAAUGAACCAGGAAGAAAUCGAAAUCCUGAAUAUACCAAUAAUGGGCUCCAAGUUGAAUCAGUAAUAAAAAACCUACCAACAAGAAAAACCUGUGGACCAGAUGGAUUCACAACUGAAUUCUACCAGAUGUAUAAAGAAGAGCUGUCAAUAAUCCUACUGAAAUUAUUCCAGAAAAAUCAAGGAGGAGGGACUUCUUACUAACCCCUGAGGUCAGCAUCAGUCUGAUAUCGAAACCUGGCAGAGACACAGCAAAAAAGAAAACUUCAGCUGGGCGCAGUGGCUCAAGCCUGUAAUCCCAGCAAUCUGGGAGGCCGAGGCGGGCGGAUCACGAGGUCAGGAGAUUGAGACCAUCCUGGCUAACACGGUGAAACCCCGUGUCUACUAAAAAUACAAAAAAAUUAGUCGGGCAUGGUGGCGGGCGCCUGUAGUCCCAGCUACUCGGAGGCUGAGGUAGGAGAAUGGCCUGAACCCGGGAGGCAGAGCUUGCAGUGAGCGCAGAUCCAGCCACUGCACUCCAGCCUGGGCGACAGAGCAAGACUCUGUCUCAAAAAAAAAAAAAAAAAAAAAAAAGAGAAAA